GAUGAACGCUGGCGGCGUACCUAAUACAUGCAAGUCGAGCGAACAGACGAGGAGCUUGCUCCUCUGACGUUAGCGGCGGACGGGUGAGUAACACGUGGAUAACCUACCUAUAAGACUGGGAUAACUUCGGGAAACCGGAGCUAAUACCGGAUAACAUGUUGAACCGCAUGGUUCAACAGUGAAAGACGGUUUUGCUGUCACUUAUAGAUGGAUCCGCGCCGCAUUAGCUAGUUGGUAAGGUAACGGCUUACCAAGGCAACGAUGCGUAGCCGACCUGAGAGGGUGAUCGGCCACACUGGAACUGAGACACGGUCCAGACUCCUACGGGAGGCAGCAGUAGGGAAUCUUCCGCAAUGGGCGAAAGCCUGACGGAGCAACGCCGCGUGAGUGAAGAAGGUCUUCGGAUCGUAAAACUCUGUUAUUAGGGAAGAACAAAUGUGUAAGUAACUAUGCACGUCUUGACGGUACCUAAUCAGAAAGCCACGGCUAACUACGUG
rnacentral:rRNA from 1 species